GUCUCACUUUUUUCCUCAGUGGCAGGCCAUCACGAGAGAUCCGUGGGUUCUACAAACUGUGGCCAAAUUUCAGAUCGACUUUGUGGAACCUCCAAUACAAACAUCCGGCCCGCAGGCGAUAUGUAUGGACAAGGAGGCUUCUGGCAUGGUUCACUCUGAAACACUGUCCCUGAUGGACAAGGGCACAGUGGAGAGGGUGACAGGCC